UACGGUGGGGGCUAGCGUUGUUCGGAAUUACUGGGCGUAAAGCGCACGUAGGCGGCUUUGUAAGUUAGAGGUGAAAGCCCAGGGCUUAACCCUGGAAUUGCCUUUAAGACUGCAUCGCUAGAAUCGUGGAGAGGUGAGUGGAAUUCCGAGUGUAGAGGUGAAAUUCGUAGAUAUUCGGAAGAACACCAGUGGCGAAGGCGACUCACUGGACACGUAUUGACGCUGAGGUGCGAAAGCGUGGGGAGCAAACAGG
rnacentral:rRNA from 1 species